rnacentral:rRNA from 1 species
GAUGAACGCUGGCGGCGUGCCUAAUACAUGCAAGUCGAGCGAACGGACUAGAAGCUUGCUUCUCUGAUGUUAGCGGCGGACGGGUGAGUAACACGUGGAUAACCUACCUAUAAGACUGGGAUAACUUCGGGAAACCGGAGCUAAUACCGGAUAAUAUUUUGAACCGCAUGGUUCAAAAGUGAAAGAUGGUCUUGCUGUCACUUAUAGAUGGAUCCGCGCUGCAUUAGCUAGUUGGUAAGGUAACGGCUUACCAAGGCAACGAUGCAUAGCCGACCUGAGAGGGUGAUCGGCCACACUGGAACUGAGACGCGGUCCAGACUCCUACGGGAGGCAGAAGUAGGGAAUCUUCCGCAAUGGGCGAAAGCCUGACGGAGCAACGCAGCGUGAGUGAUGAAGGUCUUCGGAUCGUAAAACUCUGUUAUUAGGGAAGAACAUAUGUGUAAGUAACUGUGCACAUCUUGACGGUACCUAAUCAGAAAGCCACGGCUAACUACGUG